GAUGAACGCUGGCGGCGUGCCUAAUACAUGCAAGUCGAGCGAACGGACGAGAAGCUUGCUUCUCUGAUGUUAGCGGCGGACGGGUGAGUAACACGUGGAUAACCUACCUAUAAGACUGGGAUAACUUCGGGAAACCGGAGCUAAUACCGGAUAAUAUUUUGAACCGCAUGGUUCAAAAGUGAAAGACGGUCUUGCUGUCACUUAUAGAUGGAUCCGCGCUGCAUUAGCUAGUUGGUAAGGUAACGGCUUACCAAGGCAACGAUGCAUAGCCGACCUGAGAGGGUGAUCGGCCACACUGGAACUGAGACACGGUCCAGACUCCUACGGGAGGCAGCAGUAGGGAAUCUUCCGCAAUGGGCGAAAGCCUGACGGAGCAACGCCGCGUGAGUGAUGAAGGUCUUCGGAUCGUAAAACUCUGUUAUUAGGGAAGAACAUAUGUGUAAGUAACUGUGCACAUCUUGACGGUACCUAAUCAGAAAGCCACGGCUAACUACGUGCCAGCAGCCGCGGUAAUACGUAGGUGGCAAGCGUUAUCCGGAAUUAUUGGGCGUAAAGCGCGCGUAGGCGGUUUUUUAAGUCUGAUGUGAAAGCCCACGGCUCAACCGUGGAGGGUCAUUGGAAACUGGAAAACUUGAGUGCAGAAGAGGAAAGUGGAAUUCCAUGUGUAGCGGUGAAAUGCGCAGAGAUAUGGAGGAACACCAGUGGCGAAGGCGACUUUCUGGUCUGUAACUGACGCUGAUGUGCGAAAGCGUGGGGAUCAAACAGGAUUAGAUACCCUGGUAGUCCACGCCGUAAACGAUGAGUGCUAAGUGUUAGGGGGUUUCCGCCCCUUAGUGCUGCAGCUAACGCAUUAAGCACUCCGCCUGGGGAGUACGACCGCAAGGUUGAAACUCAAAGGAAUUGACGGGGACCCGCACAAGCGGUGGAGCAUGUGGUUUAAUUCGAAGCAACGCGAAGAACCUUACCAAAUCUUGACAUCCUUUGACAACUCUAGAGAUAGAGCCUUCCCCUUCGGGGGGGCAAAGUGACAGGUGGUGCAUGGUUGUCGUCAGCUCGUGUCGUGAGAUGUUGGGUUAAGUCCCGCAACGAGCGCAACCCUUAAGCUUAGUUGCCAUCAUUAAGUUGGGCACUCUAAGUUGACUGCUGGUGACAAACCGGAGGAAGGUGGGGAUGACGUCAAAUCAUCAUGCCCCUUAUGAUUUGGGCUACACACGUGCUACAAUGGACAAUACAAAGGGCAGCGAAACCGCGAGGUCAAGCAAAUCCCAUAAAGUUGUUCUCAGUUCGGAUUGUAGUCUGCAACUCGACUACAUGAAGCUGGAAUCGCUAGUAAUCGUAGAUCAGCAUGCUACGGUGAAUACGUUCCCGGGUCU
rnacentral:rRNA from 1 species